rnacentral:rRNA from 1 species
AUUGAACGCUGGCGGCAUGCCUAACACAUGCAAGUCGAACGGCAGCGCGGGUAGCUUGCUACCUGGCGGCGAGUGGCGGACGGGUGAGUAAUAUGUAGGAAUCUACCUUAUGGUGGGGGACAACUUAGGGAAACUUAAGCUAAUACCCCAUAAGCUCUAAGGAGGAAAGCAGGGGACCGUAAGGCCUUGCGCCAAAAGAUGAGCCUACAUCGGAUUAGCUUGUUGGUGGGGUAAAGGCCUACCAAGGCGAUGAUCCGUAGCUGGUCUGAGAGGAUGACCAGCCACACUGGGACUGAGACACGGCCCAGACUCCUACGGGAGGCAGCAGUGGGGAAUAUUGGACAAUGGGGGCAACCCUGAUCCAGCAAUGCCGCGUGUGUGAAGAAGGCCUUCGGGUUGUAAAGCACUUUCAGUAGGGAGGAAGGGGCGUAUGAUAAUACCAUAUGUCAUUGACGUUACCUACAGAAGAAGCACCGGCUAACUCUGUGCCAGCAGCCGCCGUAAUAC